rnacentral:rRNA from 1 species
CAGUAGCCGCGGUAAUACGUAGGGUGCGAGCGUUAAUCGGAAUUACUGGGCGUAAAGCGUGCGCAGGCGGUCCGCUAAGACAGAUGUGAAAUCCCCGGGCUUAACCUGGGAACUGCAUUUGUGACUGGCGGGCUAGAGUAUGGCAGAGGGGGGUAGAAUUCCACGUGUAGCAGUGAAAUGCGUAGAGAUGUGGAGGAAUACCGAUGGCGAAGGCAGCCCCCUGGGCCAAUACUGACGCUCAUGCACGAAAGCGUGGGGAGCAAACAGGAUUAGAUACCCGCGUAGUCCCUGUCUCUUAUAC